UAUAAUUUCCACCUGUUGUCUAUUCCAUUUGCACAACAGCAUGUGAAAUUUAUUGUCAAUCAGUGUUGCUUCCUAAGUGGACAGUUUGAUUUCACAGAAGUGUGAUUGACUUGGAGUUACAUUGUGUUGUUUAAGUGUUCCCUUUAUUUUUUUGAGCAGUGUAUAUGAUCGCCUCACCAGGGAAAACAAUAGGCUGUUCCAUUGACUGUUAUAUCAGUUAUUGAACCCUCAAUAAAAUGAUCUGUUUUCAUUGUGAUGCAGUCCCACUCUCACCUGAUGUGUGAUGUGAACGUACAGGGCCGGUUUCCCCAGACGCAGAUUACGCCAAAUCCUGGAAUUAAAAGCAGGAGAAUCUCCAGUGAAAUAGGUUUUUAUCCUAGCACUAGGCUUAAUCUGUGUCCAGGAAACCGGCCCGCGAUGUUGUAAAACAGUCUUUGUUUAGAAAACAAUCAUCUACUAUUAAUGGCAUGGUUAGUAGAGACUGAAAGCCUUUUGUUGGAGAGGAUUAUUAGGAUGUCUAGAACAGGUAUGUACCAUGGUGAUGGGUGGAACGGAGCAAAUGGAAUGGCUUCAAACACAUGGGAACCAUAUGUUUGAUGUAUUUGAUGCCGAUCCAGUUAUUCACCACAAGCCCGUCCUCCCCAAUUAAGGUGCCACCAACCUCCUGUGGUGCCAUGCUUGUCAUUUUUGCCCAACUGAUUAAUCGAACUGAUCAAUAACCGUGUGUGUGUGUGUGUAUGAGAGAGAUGAGGGUUAGUCAGAAAGAGAAGAGCGUAAAAGUGAUGGUUUAAACAACACUGACAGGUUCAGGGAAGCUCACUAAGGAAUGAUGGAGAAGAUUACAAUAUAACUGAAGAUUCACACUGCUUAAAGGUGAGAUCCCUUUCGGCUACUAAACCAGAGCCAUGUCUUAUGUAUCCAGCAGGUUAGCGUGAUUAACAGGGUUGGCUGUAGGAAUGAUCUAUGUGACAUUUUGGUUUGACCUUUGACCUUGUAGCCUAACGGGGCAGUUGAAGGGCACUACGAAACACGCCAGCACUGCAUGAACUUGAAACUUGAUAGUUGACUAAAAGUAGAUGUAUGAAUCUGCUAUAUUCUGAGCUAACUAAAUGGACAUAUAGUUUUUACUUAUACGGAUUGAGGUAUAUUAACGACUUAAACAUUUUAAAAUAAUCUGAAAUGUAACAGGAAUCAAAUUCAAAUUGCUGCAAUAUUGCUUUGCAAUAAGUUACAUUGGGACAAGAUGUCCCAUAACAUCUGUUCAGUCAUUUGGUGACGUGUUUUUCUUGAAGCGACUUUUAGUUUUUUUAAAUUAACUGUCUCAGUAGACAACGUAUCAAAGGAAACCACACCUGUUUGAUUAAGGUCAUUCCAUGGCACUUCCUGUAACCCCCUACUGCUCCAGGGACAGCGUUGAUAAAGGCUGACCUUGGCUUUGACCUCAGUUCUUCAGGCUGUCUCAGGGAUAUACAAGCAUUUGCAAUUCACACAAGUACACACUUGUACAAGUGUGAAAUAGGACAAAUAUAAGCACCUGCGUACCAUACUGUCGAGGUAAAUGUUAUUCAAUGUUUUCUUAAGUCAGGGGGGAAGGAAUUACCGGGAAGAUAAACAUAAAACUAAGUAAUGCUGUAACACCUGGGCUGUCAGGAGGAUUAAUAGUUGAUUACCAGAAUUUUGUCAAAUAUUCAGACUUAAAAAAAAAAAAUGCUAUGAAUCAAUAUAUAUAGUAGUGUUAGAUUGUAUUUCUAAUGUUUUGAUUUCACAUCUGUUACACUAAACAAUAAAGAAGACCACCACAGCUGUGACAGUAUGGCUGAGGUAAUUAGAGGAGAACAGACUGUGACUCAGGCAAGAAGCCCCUCAGAAUGAGCUUUUCAUUUUGUUUUUGGUGUCUUGACUUUUACUGGUUUCAGGUUCUGGAAUGUAGUAAUUUAUAGGACUCAUUUCGAUUGUAUCUGAUUUUCUCUAGGCAGAAAGCCACUGGCGUUAUCAUCAAGAGUCUUAUCGCUGUGGUCCCGUGUGCACUUACAUUGGGACUGUGAGCUUAGAAUAGUUCUGCUGGGUAUGCCUGUAGGAGGAAAGAGUGCAACAGGAAACACCAAACUGGGGAGAAAUGUCUUCACAGUAGAGGCUUCCUCUGUGUCUGUGACCAGUGUCAGUCAGAAUAUAGAGUUCUGGAUGGGACCAACAUCACCGUCAUGGAAACCCCAGGAGUAUUCAGUGAGAUGAAGGUUAGGACAGUGAAAUGCCUGGAUCUCUCUCGUCCUCAUGUUCUACUGCUGGGGAGAUUCACCGACGAGGAGAAGGAACGCUGUUAAGUGAAUCCAGGAGAGCUUUGGAUCACGGGCCCCCAAAGUUCACCAGUGUGCUGUUCACACAUAAAGACCAGUUGAAGGGUAAAGCUAUAAUGACCUUUCUGAAGAGCAGUCAAGACCUUCAGGUGCUCAAUGCUAACUGGUGGUGGAUCCAAUGUCUUCAACAUUGAAGUCAAAGGCAACAUUGGAGAAGUUAAAUGACAGCUUGAAAAUAUUGAUACAGUAUUAUACCAGAACUGGGGAUACUACUACAUGGAAGAGGCAGAAAGAAAGAGCAACGGAAGAGGCUGAGAAACAUAGGUGAAGAGCAAAGAAAGACAGUAUUUUACAACAUCCAUUUUCUGCCUUCCAGGAGGCAAAACAUUUGACAUAAAAUAUCUAGCACAACUAGCUACAUGAAUUUGUCACUUCAAACAGUAGCGGGGUGAUUAUGCAGCUACGGGCACUUCCAUGUCCUCGGGUCAAUUUUGGGGAUUUUAUCAAAAAUGAAACAAAUACACAUAUUUGUAUGUUAAGUUCACACUGGAAUCACCCCAUCAUUUUUUAAACGCCUCUAUCAAGUAUUUUAGCUACUUUUCAGAUGCAUUUUAUACCUCAAUUUCACUAUUUUGCCCUUGUCCCUGACCCAGACUUUUAAGCUUCUACUAUGUUUUUCUAUGAGAAAACAAUAAUUACACAUUAUAUAAUGUUAUGUACUACAGAAAGAGUCAAUUAAAUCAAAUCUAUAACAAUA